UGGGGAAUCUUGCACAAUGGGGGAAACCCUGAUGCAGCGACGCCGCGUGAGCGAUGAAGCCCUUCGGGGUGUAAAGCUCUUUCGGCCAGAACGAUAAUGACGGUACUGGAAGAAGAAGCUGCGGCUAACUACGUGCCAGCAGCCGCGGUAAUACGUAGGCAGCGAGCGUUGUUCGGAGUUACUGGGCGUAAAGCGUGCGUAGGCGGUGCCAUAAGUCUGUUGUGAAAUCUCCCGGCUCAACUGGGAGGGUGCGGUGGAAACUGUGGUGCUGGAGUGUGGGAGAGGUAGGCGGAAUUCCUGGUGUAGCGGUGAAAUGCGUAGAUAUCAGGAGGAACACCUGCGGUGUAGACGGCUUACUGGACCACUACUGACGCUGAGGCACGAAAGCGUGGGGAGCAAACAGG
rnacentral:rRNA from 1 species